UCAAGUAACCAACAAAUUUUAGCAGCUAGUUCCCUGCAACUUUCACAUGGUCGCCCACUGAAGCUACGCAAAGCUGCGCCCGGUCAGUACCUGGAUGGAAGACCACAUGGGAAAGCUAGGUUGCUACCAGAA
rnacentral:rRNA from 1 species